GCGCCCAGUGGACAGAUUGGUGAGGUCUUCCUGCCAUACGGCUGUCACUCCUCGUUAAAGGGAACGAGGUGGAUUUCCACCACUGUGACAUCACCGCGGGUGACGCAGAGCUGGCAGAUGAGUGGGGGGGAGGCAGGUCACCACAAGCCCGGUUGCGCAGUCAGGCAGCGUGAUGAAAAGCCGCCGCGCAUUCUUGUUAGCGGGAGUUCCUCUUUGUUGACUCAAGGCUGCCGAAACAACCUGGGACCAGAUUUCAGAAUGCGGAACACAAAACAGUAAGGUGAGUACUUUGAAGUACUUUGUUUACAGGUGAGUAACAACUUUCUUUAAGUUUUCAGAAACCUUAAAAGUUAGCAGAGAAACAAGGGAGCCGGACCAAAUCUGAGACGUCUAACGAUUCUAAACAGUCAGGUAAUAAUAAUUCUUAC